UUGUGCCAAGCAGCCGCGGUAAUUCCAGCUCCAAUAGCGUAUAUUAAAGUUGCUGCAGUUAAAAAGCUCGUAGCUGAACCUCGGCCCUGGUUGACCGGUCCGCCUAACGGUGUGCACUGGCUUGACCGGGGCUUUCCUUCUGGCUAGCCUGUAUGGUAUUUAUUUAUCGUGCAGGGGAACCAGGACUUUUACUUUGAAAAAAUUAGAGUGUUCAAAGCAGGCUUAUGCUCGAAUACAUUAGCAUGGAAUAAUAGAAUAGGACGUGUGGUUCUAUUUUGUUGGUUUCUAGGACCGCCGUAAUGAUUAAUAGGGACAGUUGGGGACAUUAGUAUUGAGUUGUCAGAGGUGAAAUUCUUGGAUUUACUCAAGACUAACUACUGCGAAAGCAUUUGUCAAGGAUGUUUUCAUUAGUCAAGAACGAAAGUUAGGGGAUCGAAGACGAUCAGAUACCGUCGUAGUCUUAACCAUAAACUAUGCCGACUAGGGAUCGGGCGAUGUUCUUUUCUUGACUCGCCCGGCACCUUAUGAGAAAUCAAAGUUUUUGGGUUCCGGGGGGAGUAUGGUCGCAAGGCUGAAACUUAAAGAAAUUGACGGAAGGGCACCACCAGGAGUGGAGCCUGCGGCUUAAUUUGACUCAACACGGGGAAACUCACCAGGUCCAGACAAAGUAAGGAUUGACAGAUUGAUAGCUCUUUCUUGAUUCUUUGGGUGGUGGUGCAUGGGCCGUUCUUAGUUGGUGGAGUGAUUUGUCUGCUUAAUUGCGAUAACGAACGAGACCUUAACCUGCUAAAUAGCCCGGCUAGCUUUUGCUGGUCGCUGGCUUCUUAGAGGGACUAUUGGCAUAAAGCCAAUGGAAGUUUGAGGCAAUAACAGGUCUGUGAUG
rnacentral:rRNA from 1 species